rnacentral:rRNA from 1 species
UUGAAGUUUUGUAACAAUGGCUUUAGUGGCGGACUGGUGAGUAACACGUAAGCAAUCUACCUAUUAGAGGGGAAUAACAAUGAGAAAUCAUUGCUAAUACCGCAUAAGCUUGUAGUACCGCAUGGUACAGCAAGAAAAGGAGCAAUCCGCUAAUAGAUGGUCUUGCGUCCGAUUAGCUAGUUGGUGGGGUAACGGCCUACCAAGGCAACGAUCGGUAGCCGAGCUGAGAGGGUGAUCGGCCACAUUGGGACUGAGACACGGCCCAAACUCC